GAUGAACGCUAGCGGCAGGCUUAAUACAUGCAAGGCGAAGGGGCAGCAAUGUCACUGUCGUACGGGUGCGUAACGCGUAUGCAACCUACCUAUCACUGGGGGAUAGCCCGGGGAAACCCGGAUUAAUACCGCAUAACGCAGGGGCUCCUCAUGGAGAUAUUUGUUAAAGAUUUAUCGGUGGUAGAUGGGCAUGCGUUCGA
rnacentral:rRNA from 1 species